rnacentral:rRNA from 1 species
GACGAACGCUGGCGGCGUGCUUAACACAUGCAAGUCGAGCGAUGAAAGCCUUAUGAACUAUUCGUAGUGAUUGGGGCCGGAUUAGCGGCGGACGGGUGAGUAACGCGUGAGCAACCUGCCUUAAACAACGGGAUAGCCUCGGGAAACCGGGAUUAAUACCGUAUGAGACCCCGCCUUCACAUGAAGAAGAGGUUACAGAUUAUCGGUUUAAGAUGUGCUCGCGUCUGAUUAGCUAGUUGGGGAGAUAAAAGCCCACCAAGGCAACGAUCAGUAGCCGGCUUGAUAGAAUGCACGGUCUCAUUGGAACUUGGACACGGACCAAACUCCUACGGGAGGCAGCAGUGGGGAAUAUUGCACAAUGGGGGAAACCCUGAUGCAGCGCGGCCGCGUGAGCGAUGAAGGAAUUCGUUUCGUAAAGCUCUGUCCAAGGGGAAGAUAAUGACAGUACCCUUGGAGGAAGCCCCGGAUAAAUACGUGCCAGCAGCCGCCGUAA